CUUCAGGAAUAGUUCUGCAGGCUUCUUGAAGAAUAUUUAAAGUUGUCUUUGGAUGUUGAAUGCUUUUUGUUCUGCUCUCUGUGAAGAUGAUCUCACACUGCUUCAGUGAUGUUGAGGUCCAGACUCUGGGGAGUGACACCACAAGUCGCUUUCUUUCUCUCCCAGCUUCAGUAAUGCCCCCUGCUCCUUCCGAGAAGACGCUUUGCUCUGGCUCGGAUUUCUCUUCCAAAGCCGUUCUGUGUCUGAUUGAGGCCGUCGGGCGUCGCUGGGGUCUCUAUGAGACUCGGGAACGCUCGCAGCUCUUCCAGAGUGUUCAAGAGGAGAUGGCCUCCAAGGGGCACAUACUGCCUGUUGAGAAAAUCCGUCGCAAGUGGAACAACCUCAUUGUGACAUACAAGAGGGUUAAAGACCGCAGCCGGGAGACGGGACAUGCUAAGACGUCUUGGGAGUUCUUUGAUUUGAUGGACGCCACCCUCUGCGACACCAUUGGCACUCAGAUCGUCAACAACAAACGAAACAAAGGCGGCAGCACGGUUUCUACACUGCCUGCUCCUUUGGCUAAGAUCGCUGCAAAGCCCCUGCAGCUUCCACAGCCGACAUCCACCAUCAUCCGUCCUAGCAGUGACUUCGCUGCUGUUGCUGGUGGUGGUGGUGUGGACUCAGUAGGUCUGGGCUCCAGUGCCGGCACCGCUGCCAGUACGUCGGUGACUGCAGCGACCAUUAGCUCAACUAAUGCUCCAGACCUCAAGCCCCUGAUCGUCCUCAAUGGUGACAUUGUUACUACUAGUAUUCACCCAGCCACCAUUGUGCCGGCUCCUUCUUUUAUCUCCUCACCUUGAUUUACAGAAACAGCCACCACAUCCCCUUCCCUCAUCUCAGCCAGUAACACAGACCUCAACACACUGGGCUACACGGGCCACAAAGCUCCAUCCAUCUCAUCAGGUGUCAUCCCUUUUCGCCUGAGUACAACAUCGCUCACCCAAAGCCAGAAUCUCCUCGGCCUCUCCUCUUCAUUCCCCCUCACGUCCUCCUGCCUCACUUCCUCUGCUGCCACCUCUUUGUCUACAACAACUGUGUCUGGAACUGAAGGACAGAACCAGAAGGUGAAAGCGGAGCAAGGCGGCUCCACUUUGUUCCAGGAGAUUCUGAAGCGACAGGAGGAGCAGGCCUACCUCGAUCGAGUGGCUCGCCGCAGGGUUGAAGCCAGAGAGAAGAGGCGGGAGAGGAGGGAGGUGCGAAUGUCCGAGUCCCUAGGGAGGAUAGCCACGGCCCUGGAGCUGCUCUCCUCCAAACAGGACACAGUCAUCGCCCUCCUACAGAGGCUGGCUGAUCGGAAAUAAUCUACGGUGAAAGCCUGGAAAGUAGAAUCUCCUGACCUUGUGUUUUUCCCACCUGAGAUCCUCCUUAUGAAGCUCUCGUGCACUAUAAUGCUACUUUAAUGAGCAUAAUUUGAUAUAAAUAUGAAUUUGACAAACUCUUAACUAAAUAACAGACAAGCGCAAAGGUGAGUCAUUGUUCCGUGCUUUUAAAUUGUUGUGCAUUGUAAAUAUGUUAGUUUGCUUCACUAACAUCAAAUAAAAAUAUUCUUUGGAUAUGCA